ensembl:lncRNA
GGUGGUGGUCGUGUGAUGGUCAGGGCUGCUUUGCUGCUUCAGGACGACUUGUUGCAACGGAUACAUUUUGUAUUUAUUCUGGUUCUCUUUGUCUAAUAUUAGAAUUAGUUUGAUGCUCUGAAACAUGUAAGUGUGACAAAUAUGCAAAAAACAAACCCUAAGAAAUCAGGAAUAGGGUAACUACUUUUAGUCACUCUGUUGUUUUCAGCACAUUGCUAAGUAUCAGCAUCAGAAGAAGACACCGAGUAUAAGGUGUUCACGGUUAAGUGAUGACAAACUUUGAACCUGACUGUGUGCUGUUUGUGCGUCUCAGCAAAUCUAUGUGAGUGCGUGAGCCAGGUCAGAGGUCAUGUUGCGGAGGGAAUCCGACUCCCACGGCCUCUUUACCUUCGGAGAGACGUCCGACAAUGACUGUGAGAUGGGGGUGAGCUGCAGAGAGGUAGAUGUAGCGUGUCUGUGCGAGGCCGGUCCCUGUACACUUUAUUCAGAAGCACACACGCCUACGCCGGACACGCGGCUGUGUGAACGCUGUGGAAAAAACAAAGUGAUGGUAACCAGGUACUCUGAGGGAUACGGCACAGAGGAGGAGUGUGUGUUAUCUGACCCUCAGGGGGAGAGUGACGCAGAUGCGGAUAUAGAGGAUACAGACUGCAGACUCCAGGAGCCUGGUUCUCUCCAGCGAAUCAGCUCACGGAGACGGAAACGUCCUCGAGUAGCGCGACAAGACACCACGGAGAGCGAGGAUGAUGGCGGGCGAAGCCAUAGAUCCCAUCGAUGGAAUCUGAGGCUUAGUCCUGACAGAGCACACAGCAGAACCAUACUCGAGGAGAGCAUAUCACAGGUCAGGCCACUGAUCAUUUGCAGGCCAAACGUGGAGAAGCAGAAGAGUCCUGAUGAGGUGACCCGAGGCUCCAAACUGACGUCUCUGUGGCCGUCGUCCUUCUCUCUUCCUCUUAUCCUCCUCCUGUCAUUACCUCUCUCUGUUUCUCUCAUUGUUUUUAUCGUGUCUUUCCUCCUUCCGUGGGCCAGUGCUUGACCCCCGCCAUGCCUGCUUCAGGAUAUUAGUUUCAUUCCAGAAAUGACAGAAAGUUCUACCGACUCAUAUAAUGUAGUGGAUAGCGUAAUUUCUUUAUAAACGAGUAGAAAGACUUGAAGAUAAUAAUAGAUUAGCAAUACUGAAUUUGUGUUCAAUGUUUCUUUUCCUCCUUUCUUUAAAUAUCUUGACUUUAAGCGAAGGUCGUCCCUCGAAACCAAAAAGGCACUGAGAAACUUUCAUAACGCGGCGCAUUUUGAUCGAGAAUGUGCUCACAGUGAACACAACACAAACUCAGCUCCUGCCUCUGUCUCAUAAAAUCUCACCUUCCGUCUCACUUUUCCUCACCCCCUCGUUUGUAAAAAUAGACCUCUCAUCUUGCUCCUUAUUCUAACAAGCCACUGGAGUGACACAGAGGGGGGGGGGCGAGGUUUUAUGGCUGUGCAGGUACUUUUAAAAAGGAAACUAGGAGGCUCGGUAGGAAAACCUGCGAAAGACAAUGCUGCCGAACUAUGCAAUCCCUCUGUUUGUACCGCGGCAUCUUAACUGCUGUUCGAGUACGUCUCCUAUGUCCUUGGCACUGUCGACACCUUCGUGGCCCCCCGUCCCCUUUUCUUCCUCUGAGGAGUACAGUUUGUGAAUGCAGGGACUCGAUGGUUCCAAAGUAGAGCGUGACCCAAUUUAAAAAGCAUUACCAGGAGAGAUCUGAUACAGCUCCCAUCGUGUAUGAUCUACAGCACAUCUGUUAUAACGAAUAAAUUACAUGUAUUAAUUUACGCGCCGCAGACCUCAAAAUAAAACGAGCUUUGGUGGCAGUGUGUUACAGGAGUUUGGACACUAUUUCACAGUCUUACAUUCAUAUUUAAGAAUGCUUAUGUAAAUUAUGAUUUAAGAGGACUAAGCUUGACAAUCAGUCAUGCUGUUUAUUUCAAGCUGGAAUAUCUAGAAAACGCCAUCUUUUGGCUAUGUUUGUACUGUACAUUUCAUUUUAUGUUGUUUUGUAUGUGUUUUGAAGUUAGGGUUGUUUUUUCUUCUUCCACACGUCACACUACUGAUGCUUGCUUGCCUGUAGAAAAAUGAUCAUUUUAGGUUAAUAUCAGGUUGCACUGUCUUAACUGGUUAGUUUUAGAGAUUUUUCUCUCCUAGUUUGUUGUCAUGUUGUAGUCUUACAUCUUAUUUCUAUAUGUGUUUAU